rnacentral:rRNA from 1 species
AACACGGGGAAACUCACCAGGUCCAGACACAUUAAGGAUUGACAGAUUGAGAGCUCUUUCUUGAUCAUGUGGGUGGUGGUGCAUGGCCGUUCUUAGUUGGUGGAGUGAUUUGUCUGCUUAAUUGCGAUAACGAACGAGACCUUAACCUGCUAAAUAGCCAGGCCCGCUUUUGCGGGUCUCCGGCUUCUUAGAGGGACUAUCGGAGAUCAAGUCGAUGGAAGUUUGAGGCAAUAACAGGUCUGUGAUGCCCUUAGAUGUUCUGGGCCGCACGCGCGCUACACUGACAGAGCCAACGAGUACAUCACCUUGGCCGGAAGGUCUGGGUAAUCUUGUUAAACUCUGUCGUGCUGGGGAUAGAGCAUUGGCAAUUAUUGCUCUUCACGAGGAAUUC